CCGGACGUUGGUCCGGAGCGGCACCUCCCUCCCACUGCCGCCCGGCCUCGGCCCCCCGCCCCGCUCCGCGCUCCUCCCCGCGCCGCCGGCGGUUGUACCUCGGUAGACGGAAGCCGAGGAGGGAACGAGUGAGUCGGGGAGGUCGGAGCAGCGCGAUGGGGGAUUCCAAAGUGAAGGUGGCGGUGCGUGUCCGCCCUAUGAACCGGCGAGAUGAUGAGGAAGCAAGCAUGAAAAGGGAACUGCAGCCAGGGAGUGUGAGGAGGUGAAGAAGAAGGCAGGGAUCCAAGAAACGUGGUCACGAGGAAUGUUCUUUCCUUCCCUCUGCACCAAAGGGCUUAAAACUACAAACCUGUCAGAUGGCUGCAACUGGAGGAAUUGAAGCUUUGAAACGUUCCUGGUGUUUACAUGUGGUGGUAGUGGUUGUCUUCAGUGUUUGAAUUAUGAAUUUCUUAAGGCGAGGGUUUAUUAGGUUAAUAAAAGUGGUAUGUUUAACCAUUA